rnacentral:lncRNA from 1 species
UGAAAAAUAAUUAUUAUUUUUCCAUUGCAUCAAUCAGUUAUAAAACUAUCCAACUUGUGCACUUAACACAAUAACUAACAAAAAGAAAGCAUUUUAUUCAGAACAGAUUGGUAUGUUUUUACAAAAAAGUCAUGAUUCAACUCACAAGGUCAGCAUUACCGUUAGCAAUGUACCUUUCCUGAAGGUGAAAUCCUUGCCUUUUAUCAAAUGUCAACUGCAAGAGUGUGUAACUAAAAAACCCAACAAACAGCCCAUGCCAAAACCCACUGACACUCAUAUCCCAAAGGCUCUAUUUAGAAUAUAUAUAUUAUAUAUAUAUAUACACACACAAACAUAUAACAUGUCUUCACAGAUGACAACCGUAUCAAUUUAUACUUCAGGUCCUUCUCCUCCAGGAACCAGCAUUGUUAUAUUAUUUCCAUUUAGCAAAAUCUGGUCUAGCUUCGUGAUUCUUCUGCCUUCAGGUGUAAUCUCACUGAAGCAGCAUUAGAAAAAGAUACUGACAAAGUCAUCAAACCCUAGAAGCGUUCCAACAAUUUCUUUAUCACUCUUCAUCACGAUAUGGAUGCGUGAACCUAUGCACUUGUCCACAAGCUCUCGGCAAGAGCUGCGAAGGGUUAGUGGUGGCGUUGGCCGCCAUGUUAGAUCCGGACUUGACCAGGCGCUGCCGUCUCCCGCGGCGGUGAAGGGCCGACCCAGCA